rnacentral:rRNA from 1 species
UACGUAGGGUGCAAGCGUUAAUCGGAAUUACUGGGCGUAAAGCGUGCGCAGGCGGUUGUGCAAGACCGAUGUGAAAUCCCCGGGCUUAACCUGGGAAUGGCAUUGGUGACUGCACGGCUAGAGUGUGUCAGAGGGGGGUAGAAUUCCACGUGUAGCAGUGAAAUGCGUAGAGAUGUGGAGGAAUACCGAUGGCGAAGGCAGCCCCCCUGGGAUAACACUGACGCUCA